UCCGCGCCGCUCUCCCGCCCUCCUCUCUCCCUCCCUCCCGGCCGCGGAGCAGCAUGGCGGAGCCCGGGCAGCGGCCGCGCGGCCGCCCGCCGCCCCUCUGAGCCGGGCUCGGGGGCAGCCCGGCACCUCAGAGCAGACCCCCGCCCCGCCGCGCCCUCUGCCGCACUUGUCCCACUGCGCGCCCCCUGGAGCGCCGCGCACCCCUGGGACCCUUGCGCGCCCCGGGUGCCCAGCAUAACCCGAGUUCCCCCGCUCACCCUGGAAUCUCAGGACUGCCCCAGGAGCCCCGCGUACCCCUGGACCCUGACGCGGCUCCGGGACCCCCACGCGCUCUAGGACCCCUGCGCGCUCUCAGAAUUCCGGGGCUCGGCCAACCCGGCUGCGCGCCCUGGUGAGGGGCCCCGCCCCAGAGGAUCCCCCUCUUCCAACAGACCGGAGCCCCGCCCCAGAGAGACCCCCAGGUCCGACAGGGACAUCCAGCCACGCCCCAGCGGGCUCCCAGCAUCUCGCGCCUGGAGCCCUGUGCUCCAGAAGAUCCUCGGUGCCCAGCUGGGGGCUCCCCGCCCUGCUGAGGGGGCGCUGCCCAAGAGGGACCCCCGCGUCCCGCGGGCCCCGGCAGGAUGCACGCCGCCCUGGCGGGGCCGCUGCUAGCCGCCCUCCUUGCCACCGCCCGCGCCCGUCCGCAACCCCCCGACGGAGGACAGUGCCGGCCGCCUGGAUCGCAGAGGGACCUGAACUCCUUCCUGUGGACUAUUCGGCGCCAUCCUCCAGCCUACUUGUUUGGCACCAUCCACGUUCCCUAUACCCGAGUCUGGGACUUCAUCCCUGAUAAUUCCAAAGCAGCCUUCCAGGCCAGCACUCACGUCUACUUUGAGUUGGAUCUGACAGAUCCCUAUACCAUCUCAGCCCUGGCCAGUUGCCAGCUGCUGCCCCAUGGGGAGAACCUGCAGGACGUGCUGCCAAGGGAGCUCUACUGGCGCCUGAAGCGCCACCUGGACUAUGUGAAGCUGAUGAUCCCCUCCUGGAUGACGCCAGCACAGCGCGGCAAGGGGCUGUAUGCUGACUACCUGUUCAAUGCCAUUGCUGGUAACUGGGAGCGCAAGAGGCCCGUGUGGGUGAUGCUCAUGGUGAACUCCCUCACGGAGACAGAUGUGCGCUCCCGAGGUGUGCCUGUGCUGGACCUCUACCUGGCCCAGCAGGCUGAGAAGAUGAAGAAGAGCACAGGGGCUGUGGAGCGGGUUGAGGAGCAGUGCCAUCCUCUCAAUGGGCUCAACUUCUCCCAGGUGUUGUUUGCCCUGAACCAGACUCUGCUGCAGCACGAAAGUGUGCGGGCUGGGAGCCUGCAGGCACCCUACACCACAGAGGACCUCAUCAAACACUACAACUGCGGGGACCUCAAUGCUGUCAUCUUCAACCAUGACACAUCCCAGCUACCCAACUUCAUCAACACCACCCUCCCACCUCAUGAGCAGGUGACAGCCCAGGAAAUCGACAGCUACUUCCGGCAGGAGCUCAUCUACAAGAGGAAUGAGCGCAUGGGAAAGAGGGUCAUGGCGCUGCUGCAGGAAAACCAGGACAAGAUCUGCUUCUUUGCCUUCGGAGCAGUCCUGCUGCUGUUGGAAGCCCAGCUCCCCCUCCUGAGAUCACCUCUCCUGCCAGCCCAGCUCCAGCAACCCCAGCCGCUGCAGUCCCAGAAGCAACCUCAGCGACCCCCACCACCCCUCCUGAGGAGGAAGACCCAGUCCUGUCCCCACACCUCUUGCUCCCCGACAGCCUAAGCCAGCUAGAGGAGUUCGGAAGGCAGAAGUGGCGAAAGAGACUAAAUAAACAUCAGCGGCCAAGGCAGUUCAAUGACCUCUGGGUCCGAAUCGAGGACAGCACUACGAUCUCGCCACCUCCGCUGCCCCUGCAGCCUACCCCCAGCUCCGAAACCACCAAGCCCUUUGUCAAGUCCUCACACCAACUCCAGCAGCAGGACGCUGUGGGGCCUACCAGCAGCUCAGCGCCUACACUGGGCCUCCUCCAUGCCAUCACUGCCUCCAUUGUAGCCCCCUUCCUACUACACAGCCUUGGGCCUUCCUGACCUCGACCACCCUUGCAGAGAAGCCAGAGAAACCACAGGAGUCUGUGGCCGUGUCCACCAUCUGACACCACCUCAGAUGGUGCUAACACCCUCAAGGCAGUUCACACAGGACAGGGACCUUAGAGCACUAGAGCUUUAUUCUACUCCAGUUACAUCUUCUUUUUUGUAGAAGGUCUUAAUUUCCCAUAGUGCUAUGGGGCUCUUUUGUAAAAUAUGUGUCCAUAUUAAAAGAGAAAAUGUAUUUAUUCUAUUGAUAAAACUAUUUUUAUGUAGCUUAUGUUAUAGUCCCUGAAUUAGUCCCAAACACCAACCCAGGGAAGGAACCCAGGUUCCCAUGACCUCUGUGACCUGUGUAGACAGUGGCUUUGAAUUGGCCCCAAGCCUCCUACUCAGGCUUGACUUCUCCCACUGUAGGCACCUCUGAGGGCAGGCAGAAAGGCAGCCCCAGCUUUUGUGAGGCUAAAUUUCAGAGCCAGGGGCAUAGUGGCCAGCCAUCCUCCCUAACCCUGUCCAGGCCCCAGAAGGGCAAUUUAAGGAGAAAUGAAGAAAGAAAGAAAGAAAGAAAGAAAGAAAGAAAGAAAGAAAGAAAGAAAGAAAGAAAGAAAGAAAGAAGAAUGCUGCUAUUUUGAAGUCCCACGUGUCUGUGGACUGGCCCGCCAGGGUUCCUGGUGGGUUUUUCCAUUAAAGUAGGAGACUGGUGCUGUGGGAGAUGAGCCCAGUCCUGUGGUCAGAUGGCUACACUGAGAUCCAAAAAGUGAAUGGGGUUACCCAAGGUCACAAAGCAAGUGGGUGAUUGAUGUUCCAGUGUCACUGAUCCAGCUUCCAUUCAAGAGGGGCUGGUAAACCUGGUUAGGGCUGGGAAGUGAGCUGGGCAGAGGACAGGAAUGGGCAGGGGUGGACACAGAACAGUCUUAGGGGCGAUGGAGUGCAGGAGCCUCCAGUUGUGGUGAUGACCGUGGUAGAGACAACCACCUGCCAAAAGCCUGCUGUGCGAUGUGAUGACCUCCAAUUCAAUGAUAAGGCUGAACCCCCAAAAGAGGGAAAAGAUCCACCCAAGAUGUAUGCCCUGCCCAGCCCUGGAUUAGGGUGAUACAAAAAAUACCCUUGCUCCUCAAACUGUGUUCUACUCCUGCUCUUUCGGUCAGGAGAAGAACCAGGGGAGGCAGAUUUCCCAAACUGGAACCCUCCCAAUCUUCCCAUGGCAGACAAGGAGGCCAUUUCUCCAGCUCCCCCUGCUGGCUUCUGUAGCCAGGAGCCUCUAGCAGCCAGCAUGGACAGGCAGGGAGUUGAGGCACAGAAGCCUUCUGUCCUCCGGGGUCUGACUGAGAACACAGUGGGCCAAAGCUGGACUUGUGGCUCAUUAUUUAAGGAGUCCUAGAUCCUGAGAGCAGAAAAGAGCCCUCACCUGGCAACAAGAGUAAGAAUGACGCUAAGGUCCAGAAAGAGGAAAGGCCUCUCCAAAGUGGCACAGCUGAGACAGGCAUGUUGACUCCGGUCCCGUUCUCUCACCUCACUGCACAUGGGUUUCCCUGGCAGGCUUGAUGGCGCCUGGUUGGCUACAGCACCGCCAUGCUUAGGUUGGCAGACAUCUCCCUUCUGAGAUGGCAGGACUCUGGGCAACUCAUUGCAUAGUCAGGGGUCCCACAGGCAUCCUGGCAGGCAGCAGAAUUCUUUCCAGCUCUGCCCCAGUGGACAGGUUUAAGCCUGAGACCUGGCAAGAUUCUGGAACUCUGCUUCACAGGGUCCCGCCAGUCCCAUGGACACCACACUGUAAACUGAACUUGACCUCAACCAGGACUGGAGUCAGUUUAUCCUUGGCAAAAAAAUGUGACUUCCUAUUGCUGAGCGGGAAGGGGCUUAGCUGACUUUUAAAGCAGGCUCAGAAGUUAGACAUCAAACGGAUCGUGCAGAGCGCUAUUGGGAUGAGAUAAGUGUAAAGGAAUUGGAAACACACAGGCCAGAUUCCCCUGUUUGGGGCAGAGUAUGGCAUGAGAUGUAUGGAGAUCAAGCUCGAGGUUAAUUAAAGAUGAAGCAUUUGGGGAAAGAGUCCAAGCACCUGACCGUGUGCCCAGACCUGUGCCAGGCGUGGGGCCAAGAUGGUGAAUUAAUACAGCAUGUAAUCACUGUGCAAGCACAGUGCCAGGGUUACACACAUGGGCUGAAUUGUACCCACCCUUCUGGGCCCAGAAGAGUUCACCAUCAACAUGGGAUAAGUGGAGCUAUCCUGGGCUACUUUCCCAGCCCCAACAUCAGGCCACUUGUCUUUCCAGACCCCUUCUUAAGGAAGACUGAAAGGGAAGGAAGUGUUUCAAAUUCUCUUCCCCACCACAUUUUAAGGUUUUUAAAGAUGACGUGCCCUGCUUAGUAGCACAUGUCUGUAAGGACUGUACUUGGGAGUCUGAGGCAAGAGCAUCAACAAGCAUCAUAAGAGGUCCAGACUGGGAUGCACAGUGAGUUCUAAAACAGCUUGAAGUACAUGACCAGACCCUAUAUGAAAAAUGAAGGGAAGGGAAGGGAGGAGGGGAGGUAAGGAAGGAAGAAGAAAGGGAGGGAGGGAGGGAGGGAGGGAUGGGGCAGGAGGGAGGGAGGCAGGAGGGAGGGAAGGAGGGCAGAGUAGUCCAACAGAUCAACAAAAUUCAAGGUAGGUGUGGACUUAGAAAGAAAGAACCAUUGUUCAGACACCUAGGGCCAAAGUUUCCUGGCCCCUGGAGAGCUCUACCAAGCCAGGGUUUAAGCAAGUAGCAAACUCAACUUGCUGGCCUACAUCCUAGGAGACCUUGCACACAAAACAGAAUGUAUGGCUAGGCCACUUAAACUUCCCUUCCUGCUCUGGAAACAGACCAGUAGUCCAUCAGCAGUUUCUCAGACUUCAUGUUCUUGCUGGCUAGACUCAUAAACACAGAGCCCAGUUCCCUUGAGAUUCCAAUGAGUAUUUUUAGGACUUUCGUUUUAACUUUGAGUCAAACAGAAAGAUGGAAGGCCUGUGGCCUAGCAGAUUAAGUGACCAGCACUUAGCGGGGAAUCAAAGAGGUGUCCAUGCCAAUCUCGGAGGUCAAAGACACGGUCUGCAAUGUCUGGACUGAGGGUGACUCACAACGUUCACCUUAUACUGAAAGACCCAAGCACAUCCUUCUCACAUGGAGUGUGGUCACCGGCAAUGUCCUAGUCUUGUCCAGUCCAGACUUGGGCAAGCCUGGAAGCUCAGGUACUUUGUCCCACCAGUGCCCCUAUCACAACAGAUCCCAGAGAAAAGAACUGCUGGUUGUAGUUUUAAUGACACCCUAAGUGGCAAAAAAAAAAAAAAAAAAAAAAGACCACCAGACUUGUGGUAGUAAUAACCAUGAGAUAAACACCAGGCCCUCUACUUGGUAUUUAAGACCCUCCAUGACCCCACUCAGCUGACCUUGCUGGUCAUGUCUCAUCCCUCCUACCCCAGCCUGACAGAUGGAAUCAUAUCUGUUAUUUCUAGAAUAGACAUGGUGCUUUAUACAUGUUACUCCCCAGGGGAAGCUCUCUUCUCUCCCCCCAGCUAUUUAUCCCAUGAGGAUAACCCUAGCGGCUUGCUCCAGGAUGUCCCCCACGGAACCCUUUGUACAUUACUAGUCCCACACACACAUUCCAGAGUUAGGGCUCUUUAGAUAUGAAUUUGCUCCCUGUUGGAAAUACAAGCAAAUCAAUGAGGUGGGUCCUGUGUCUGUUUUUUUUUUUAUGACCUUUGACACAAAAGUGAUAGAUGAAGAUGUGCUGAGAGGGACAAGGGAGGAAAGGAAGCAGGACAGAGGAAGAAGAGGUUGGAGCUAGGAAAGGCAAAAGACAGCCUUGGCUUUCUAUUUGAGACAACUUCCACAUCCCUAGCUGCUAAAGGAUAGCAUCUGAGAGUAGAGUUCUCCAGGUGGAGGUAGACGCAUAGUAUGCAAGGCCCCAGGGUCCACUGGCUGAAGAUGUGGCAACCAGCUGGAAAUCUUGGCAAAGGAUUGGUGUAAAUGCCAUGAAAGUGCCCCUGGCUUUGUAAGGUUUGGGUUCUUUACACAUUGUUAGUUUUCCAAAAAUUCAUCUAAGCAGCCAAAAAUAUCACCCUGGCUGGCCAUCUAAGCCUGUAGAUUCAGUACUCAGCUAAAGCCUCUCUACACCCCUCCCCCAUUCUUACACAGCCCAGCCAGGCUUGCCAAGAACUGGCAGAAACUCUUGCUGCCCUUGGGCAGGGGACCUCUUGGGGAGGAGAUGCCUGGAUUGAAACCCUGCCCAUGACUCCAGCUCAGAGCCACUUCUUAGUCAGUGCCCGACCUUGAGGAAGGGAAAUCAGAGCUUAUAAGGGCUCUUGGACCCUAUCUGGCCCUUUCCAGGCAAUGUCAGCUCCUCACCACUGUCUCCAAAGGCAGACUUUGCCUAUAGAGAGGCCUUUGCUUGCUGCUUGGGAAGCCACAGAAGCUCUUUCAGCUUCUGUUUCUUCAUGGACCAUAGGGAGAGUUUCCUGGGGCCAGGAGGAUAAUUCUGUGUAUCAUAUUGACACCACAGGCCACCAUGAUGGGAGCAUGUGACAGAUAAGAAAACAUAACUUAAAGGCCCCCUCCAUCCUAAAACCUGCCUUGGGGAAUGUGAUUUUUAAUAGGAUCCAAGUCUAAGAUGCCUGGAGUGAGAAACCAAGGACUCUUAGACUGGAGUCUCUCUGGUUGCAAGGCUGAGGUGGGUGUGGCUCUCAGCUAAAGAAGGGGGAAGUUGACCUUAGCUUUUGCCCAGUUCUGUCUCAGAUUUGUUGGCUACCCCACUGUGCCUCACUGUACCAAACUGGCCUCAGCUCUCACCAUGUUUGUGGUGUUCUUUAUCACCUCUUCCUUCACCCCUGCCCCAUGAAUUGUCAUGAAGAGUUCUUUAAGAGUAUAAUAGAAGACAAAGAAAGAUGCUAUUAAUGUUAUUUUGCCAAAAAUAUUUUUGUAGCAUAAUAUAUUAAUUAAAGAUGUUAUGAACUUGA